rnacentral:rRNA from 1 species
UACGUAGGGUGCGAGCGUUGUCCGGAAUUAUUGGGCGUAAAGAGCUCGUAGGCGCUUGUCGCGUCGGAUGUGAAAGCCCGGGGGCUUAACUCCGGGUCUGCAUUCGGAUACGGGCAGGCUAGAGUUCGGUAGGGGAGAUCGGAAUUCCUGGUGUAGCGGUGAAAUGCGCAGAUAUCAGGAGGAACACCAAUGCGAAGGCAGCUCGCUGGGACGUUACUGACGCUGAGACGCGAAAGCGUGGGGAGCAAACAGG